rnacentral:rRNA from 1 species
AUUGAACGCUGGCGGCAUGCUUUACACAUGCAAGUCGAACGGCAGCGGAGAGUGCUUGCACUCUGCCGGCGAGUGGCGAACGGGUGAGUAAGAUAUUGGAACGUACCGAGUAAUGGGGGAUAACUAUCCGAAAGGAUAGCUAAUACCGCAUACGCUUUGAGAAGGAAAGUGGGGGCUCUUCGGACCUCACGUUAUUCGAGCGGCCAAUAACUGAUUAGCUAGUUGGAGGGGUAAAGGCCCACCAAGGCGACGAUCAGUAGCGGGUCUGAGAGGAUGAUCCGCCACACUGGGACUGAGACACGGCCCAGACUCCUACGGGAGGCAGCAGUGGGGAAUUUUGGACAAUGGGCGCAAGCCUGAUCCAGCCAUGCCGCGUGUCUGAAGAAGGCCUUCGGGUUGUAAAGGACUUUUGUUAGGGAAGAAAAGGAGUAUGUUAAUACCAUUCCUCUGCUGACG